CUACGGGUGGCACCAGUGGGGAAUAUUGGACAAUGGGGGAAACCCUGAUCCAGCAAUGCCGCGUGUGUGAAGAAGGCCUGCGGGUUGUAAAGCACUUUCGGUUGGGAGGACUGCUUCUAGCACUAAUAUUGUUGGAAGUUGACGUUACCUUCAGAAGAAGCACCGGCUAACUCCGUGCCAGCAGCCGCGGUAAUACGGAGGGUGCAGGCGUUAUCUGAAUUACUGGGCGUAAAGCGCACGUAGGCGGCUAGAUCAGUCGGGUGUGAAAGCCCCGGGCUUAACCUGGGAACUGCAUCCGAUACUGUCUAGCUUGAGUACAGGAGAGGAGAGUGGAAUUCCACAUGUAGCGGUGAAAUGCGUAGAUAUGUGGAGGAACACCAAUGGCGAAGGCAGCUCUCUGGCCUGAUACUGACGCUGAGGUGCGAAAGCGUGGGGAGCAAACAGGAUUAGAUACCCUCGUAGUC
rnacentral:rRNA from 1 species